GUCUGGGUGCACUGGCCAAAGAGAAAAAAAGAUAUGCUAGCUCAUACAUUUUCCAAAAGAGAAAAAGUGGAAGAUUUUCUGUGAGUUAGUUAUACAUGCAUUCCAUUUCUUAUGUUAUUAUUCUAGCAAAUAGUUAGUUAAGAAAUCUUAAGAAAUUACUUUCCUGAGAAAAUAUAGUUUGCCCAUACUUUCCCUAAUUUUGUAGACCAGACCUUCCAUAACAGCAUAUGUCUGUUAGGUAUAUAUUUUCACUGCCAUGUGAAUAAAUAUCAAGUUUUAUCAAAUGUCAAAUAUUCACAUAUAUUUGCAAAUUAAACUGUCAGUGGAAAACUGUAUAUAUAUCAUAUCAAUGCUUUCAAAUACAGUAAAAGUAUUAAAGGUUAGAAUUGUUAACAGUUAUAAAUUUUUUGAGAAUUGCUUUAAACAUGGAUUAUUUCUAUGCGAAAAAUCUCAAUCAAAACAUUACACACACAUACAUAUAUUCCAGUAGCAUAGCAAGGGAGGAGCAAGGGGGUCUAUCAUGCCCCGGGCGCCACUCGCAGAGAGGCGCCAAAUGGUCCCCAAGACAAGAUUUUCCGGAAAAUUUCAAUUUUUAUUUUGAUCGAUUUCUGGGAAA
rnacentral:lncRNA from 1 species